UCUAGUAUUGGUGAAAUGUGGUCUCUCCUGCUAUUCAGUUUUAGAGAUGUUAUUGUCAUUUCGUUACGUCGACCGAAUGCAUAUCUUAUUUCCCCCUCUAAAGUAGGCUACGAAACUUUAAGGACCUGGAAAGAGAUGAUGGUCAUAUCAACCUACAUGUUUGUCGAGGGAGUUAUAGGAGCGGUUUAUGUUGAGAAUAACUACCCCUGCGGUAGGAAUACUGAUAUCUUCAAAUACCAGGGAUGGCUCUACCUAAUACUACUGAUCAUUUCAACUACCCUCAUAACUUUGCUUUCUUACAUUCUCCAGGUCAAUAAAACGAACUUUAAAAACUUCCGAAUGAAGUCAGCCUUUAUCUGCGGAUAUGGGUUAAUUAUGUGGUUAAUAGCAUCUUUGACCUUGUGUAUCUCCAAAACAAGAUUUAGCCUGAUGGAGCUGAAAUGGGUGAUCAUGGUAUUAGUGAUCCUGAUGAUUAUCUUUCUUGCAGCAGCUAUAUUAUUAAGAAAGUUUAGUGAAGCAAAACUACCGAAAAAAGCUUCCGCCUGCUGUCCGAGCUCUUAUUUCAAAAAGCCUUGCUCUAAAUCUAUCUGUUGCAGAUGUAAGACUACUUCAGAUGAACUUUCUUUGUCAACCCUGCCACCAUCAACUCAGACUCAUCGUUGUGAAACUGAAACGGAACGCAGCCCGCUUUUAGCAACCAGACAGGAAGAGAAAAUCAGUGAUAUUGAAGCUCAGAAUGUAGAAGCUGACAUCACACCAGCAGAAGACGAACACAGGGAGCUCCAAGACUCGCAUGUAUAGUUUAAAAGCUUUAUUAUGUUUUUUAUUAUUAUGUUUUAUUUAUUAUUUGUAAGUAUUAAAUGAUGCCUAUCGUAUCAUUCAAAUGUUUCAAGAACCCACCUUGAAGAAGACACAUAUAUCUAAUCUAAGGAUGAGAACCGGUGUUCACAACUUUCAUCAGAAGUGCUUUCCUCUAUAAGGGAAACAAUUUCAUACUUUUCACGGAUACAAAGAUGAUAUUUUUAUCCUCUCACCUUAAUCUUAUUAUCAUUAAUUCUCUUUUACUUUCUUUUUCCUUCUCAACUUAACACUAUCCAACCCGACUCUUUAAAGACAAAAACCUCCGCAAGCAACUCAAGAAUCGCUACAUUUGAGUUCUCAAAUAACAGGCGAGGAUCAGUGAAAAGCAGUGAUCAGGAGCAGUUUACUUGUGGUUUAGUUGGUCGCUAUGGUAACUCUAGACACUCACGUUUAAUUGAUCCUGUUGAGGCACCUGCACUAAUUUGGAGAUGUGACUGAAAGGCGACUGAAAGACACGUGAUGCCCAUAUAAGGACACUUAUCUUCCAAAUCACCUCCAUCAUUAUCUCCUGUACUCCUUCACUGAUACUGCAGAGAAGAAAGCGGUGUUUAUAUCCCUUAUGUGGGCAUCAAGUGUUUGUGAGUCAAGAACUUCUUUUUGUGUUAGAGCUA